AACGCUGCCCCCGCUCUCCUCGGACCAUUGUGUUUAGUACAGGACUUUUGACUUAGCCAUCAUUACUCACACUUUACUGAUUUUACUUUAAACACUGUUGGCUAAAACGACAAUUUAUCAAGACUGUUUUGCCUAGCAGUUGGGGAUAAUUUAUUUUCCCGUUGAAGGGUUUGAUAUUUAUUAGCGCGGCAGCGGGCCGGUCAGCAGAGAUCCACACUCCAGGGGACAGGCUCUGAGACCAGCUUCAUGGCCUCUGCUCCGCCCUCUCCCGCUCCCACGCUCCUAAGGCAAUUCCGAGCUGGUGCCUGAGGAUGCUGAGGGGAGAGACAACUGUGGGGCUCUUUCUUUUGGGAAAGGGAAGCUCAGGGUGUUCUAAAACGGGAGUUCGGUUCCCAUGCACUGUUUUACAUUAGACGAAUUUAGUCUGAGAAUGUAAGGCAAAGCUGGUAACCCUGCUGCCUGGGUUAUGAGUAGGGUGGUAUACCAGGGUCAGAGUUGCUCCCAUUUUUUCAUUUUUGGCCUGUUUGCUUCACAAAAACAUUUUCCUUGCCUUAGUCUAUCAUUAUGCCACUUUUUCUUCUUUUUCCUAGAAAUAUCCACCAGGAAUGUGCACUAUACGUGGAAAUACAAACACAAACCGGAGCUGAGAAGGGCCUGGGUCCCCUGACAUCAAGGUUUUUAUAAAGAAAAAUACACAAAGGCAGCCACGCCUCACUCUGGCUUCCUAGUAACCCCAGAAAAAAAUUCCAGAAAUGUGUUUUAAUUCUUUAGCCUGAGUGACAAAAAGGUUAAAAUGUUUCCCAAAGUCCACUUAAGAAUAAUUCCGACCUUGGGAAAAUGGAUUUUGUUAGCCCCAAAGCUUAUUAAGAUUAAUGGCAAGAGGGGCUCGUUAUUCUGCCAGAAAAAUCUACUUACAAAUCUAAGAGGGGGAUUUUAUUCUGUCCAUUUCUAAAAGCAGGGGACUUAGAGUGCCUGACAAGUACCCCCUAGGAAGAGGGUGUGCCAUAUACAGACAGCAGGGGUGCAUGACUGGGAUGCUCACUUGGAGAGGUAUUGGCUAGGCCAGGAAAAAGGGUUCCUUUAUGGGACUUCCUAUAUAGAGAGGUCACCCUGCUCUCACUUCUGAAACCUACCACCCUGGCCACACAACUAGGUUUUAUGGAGCCCAGAAAGAUAUUCAGAAACUGGAGCCUUAUUCAGCGUGUAAAAAGCUCUCAUGCCUGUUGGCCUUGUUGCUGCUCCACAACAGGGGACUGUGGCUUAUUCAAGUGCUCAGCCAUCACAAUGACCCCACCACCUCUUUCACGACAACCCCACCACCUCUUGGCCCUGCAGCCCCAGCUUCAGACACUGCUGACCAACUGACUCUUCCCAUGCCUUGAAUGGAAACUCACAGGCAGGAUCCCGGCAAUUUGCUUAUGCACCACGAAGUGCCAGGUAUCUCUGUGGGGCGGCACCCGUGGGCUGGCUGCUUUUCAGGUGCAAGAUGGAUGGCAGAAUUUUGGCAAAGUGCUCAGCCCUGGCUAUCUUGGCAAGGCAGAGCACAGAAGCCUGUUGCUGAGAGACCGGAAUUCCCAGACUCAGAGAUGACUAGACAAGGACUCUGGCUUUGAUUAUCAGCUCAUGGAAUUGGUGGAAGGCAAAUAGACAGGAAGCCUUCAGGUUUUUAAGGAAUUUGGUUCAGUCCAAGAAACCCAAGCCUGGCUGACAACAGCCUGUGAUUCUUCAAUCCCUGAGGUAAUUUCCAGGCCCCUCAAAUUUGCACCAAA
rnacentral:lncRNA from 1 species